AAGAACGGAAAGCAACGUAUGCAGGCACCGGAAAAAGGGGGAAAGGGAAAAGAGAGAGAGGAGGAAAAAGAGGGAAAGUUGAAUCCAGGGGAUAAGCACAGGUGCAUGCUGGCAAGCUCCAGACGGAGAUGUUGGAGGUCCUACCUGUAAGCCGUAGCAUCCGUUGAGGUGAGCUGGAAUGACUUGAGUGAACAGAAGCGCACUGGAAACCCACUGUGGACUGCUCACUAGGAGCCGUCUGUGAUCCCCCAUACAUACACACACACACGCACACACACACACCUACCUUGUUGAUAAACUGCUAACCGGCUUCCCAAAGAGCAUGACUGCCUUGGCUCUCACUGCCUGAUGGAUACAGAGACACAGAAAAAGUGUCUUCAUGUUGUGGAAACUCAACCUGGGAAGAUCUAUAAUCUAUCUGGUACACCAAUCCCAGAAAAACCGUGAAUGAGUGCGAAACAGAGAGAUCCUGUGGCAAAGGAACACUACUCCAUCCUGUCCUCUCCUGUCAGGGCAUGGCCCAGG